GCCGUGGUGGCGGAAUGGUAUACGCAGAGGACUUAAAAUCCUCGGGUUGCAAAACCAUGCGAGUUCGAGUCUCGCCCGCGGCACAA
rnacentral:tRNA from 2 species